rnacentral:rRNA from 1 species
GAUCCUGGCUCAGGAUGAACGCUAGCUACAGGCUUAACACAUGCAAGUCGAGGGGCAGCAUGGUCUUAGCUUGCUAAGGCCGAUGGCGACCGGCGCACGGGUGAGUAACACGUAUCCAACCUGCCGUCUACUCUUGGACAGCCUUCUGAAAGGAAGAUUAAUACAAGAUGGCAUCAUGAGUUCGCAUGUUCACAUGAUUAAAGGUAUUCCGGUAGACGAUGGGGAGUCG